UACGGAGGGUGCAAGCGUUGUCCGGAUUUAUUGGGUUUAAAGGGUGCGUAGGCGGCCUUGUAAGUCAGUGGUGAAAUCUUCGGGCUUAACCCGGAAACUGCCAUUGAUACUAUUUGUCUUGAAUACUUUGGAGGUAAGCGGAAUAUGUCAUGUAGCGGUGAAAUGCUUAGAUAUGACAUAGAACACCAAUUGCGAAGGCAGCUUACUACACAGUAAUUGACACUGAGGCACGAAAGCGUGGGGAUCAAACAGG
rnacentral:rRNA from 1 species